UCCCUGGUGGUCCAGUGGCUAAGACUCUGCACUCCCGAUCCAGGAGGUACAGGUUCAGGCCCUGGCCAGGGAA
rfam:Ovis aries breed Texel chromosome 12, whole genome shotgun sequence.